AACGAACGCUGGCGGCAUGCCUAACACAUGCAAGUCGAACGAGAUCUUCGGAUCUAGUGGCGCACGGGUGCGUAACACGUGGGAAUCUGCCCUUGGGUUCGGAAUAACUCUCCGAAAGGCGUGCUAAUACCGGAUGAUGUCGAAAGACCAAAGAUUUAUCGCCCAGGGAUGAGCCCGCGUAGGAUUAGCUAGUUGGUGAGGUAAAGGCUCACCAAGGCGACGAUCCUUAGCUGGUCUGAGAGGAUGUUCAGCCACACUGGGACUGAGACACGGCCCAGCCUCCUACGGGAGGCAGCAGUGGGCAAUAUUGGACAAAAGGCGAAAGCCUGAUCCAGCAAUGCCGCGUGAGUGAUGAAGGCCUUAGGGUUGUAAAGCUCUUUUACCCGGGAUGAUAAUGACAGUACCGGGAGAAUAAGCCCCGGCUAACUCCGUGCCAGCCGCCGCCGUAACAC
rnacentral:rRNA from 1 species